AGCUUCCGGGAGGCGGGGCCGGGGAGAGGAAGAAGGGAAAGAAAAGAGGAAGUUGCUUCAACCCUGCCCAGUAGAAGGCGAGGCACAGCCGGGCGGAAGUGACGUAACCAAAGGCGCCGCGAAACUAAUAAACGCGUCGCUUCUCUAGCAAGACAGGGAGGGCAGUUGGCUCGGCUGAGAUCGCAAGGGCGGGAAUACCCGGGCCUGGCCGAUACGCGACGCGCAACGCCUGAUUUUCCUUGACUUCGGGUACUGUUGUUGCGAUUUGGGUAUUCUACUGAGACGAAGUGCCAGGCUAAGAUUGCCAUUUGACUGAAGGCCCCGUCAGUCUGCAGGCGGGAAAGAACUCGACUCGGACCUCGGGAAAACGUUACGCAGAGCUUCUUCGUGAUGAAAUGACGCGUUUGACAGGAAAUCUGAGAGAUUUCGAACAUCUCAGAAAGAAAGCAUGACUAGACUAGGAACCAGCUAUAAACCUGGAAUUCAUCCUUUCAGGACAAUCAAAUCCAGAGAACUUCACUGAAGAAAGAUGGCAAGCUGAUUUUACUGUUACACCCAUAGCUCCUGGGAGAUACAAGUACCUCUUGGUGUUUAACAAUAUAUUUACUGUCUGUAUUAAAGCCCUGCUUAUAGAUUGGAAAGGACAAUAGAAGAGAGUACAACAACAUUACCAGAAGAAGUCAUCUAGUUAAUAGAAAACAGCCAAUCAAACAAGCCUUCCUCAGAAUGACUUUAUUUCUUGCAUUCAUGGGCCCUUUGGCGCUCUACUUCUUCUCUUCUCUCUGGGCUAUGCAUAUUCAAUUGUCCACUACAUUUUGUGACUAAACACAUUAAAAUGAUAAAGUUGCAAGGUAA